rnacentral:lncRNA from 1 species
AAGAUCACAUAUAUAUACUCCCAAAAUACUAUUCACAUCAGAUUGUAGCUCAGGUACAAUUAUUUUUCGUCCGCCCUUCUGAACGUCCGAUUGAGCUCAAACUUGGCAGUCAUGAUCAGUUUAACCUUACUUAACGAAAGAAAUUUUAAUCUUUCAGUUUCGACCCCGUUUGGUCACCGAAAGCUGUACCGAACUGUAAUCUUUAUCAGAUAACUGUCGAAUUUAAUUUUCCACCUUCCGGGUGUCAGAAUGGCAUGAAACUUUAAAUCUAGCCUCAUAAAAAUAAUCCUAACAUAUUCCCAAAUUUUCGGAAUUUUCUGACACUGUGCAAUUUCUGCUAAAAUAUCAGCCCCGUCUCUCACAGAAAAUUUUCAAUCUUCUAUUUCACUCCGAUUUCCGUACAAGUCAAUCCUGACGUAUAAUUUACUUGUCUAAAUCUAAUAAAAAAAUAGUAUCUCACACUAUUUCUAUUUAUAUUCACUUUUAUUAAAACAAAUCCGGUAUGCUACACGGUACGCAUGUGGCCCUCCUGGCCAC